GAUGAACGCUGGCGGCGUGCCUAACACAUGCAAGUCGAACGGAGAUUACGGACGGAAGUUUUCGGAUGGAAGACUGUAAUUCUUAGUGGCGGACGGGUGAGUAACGCGUGGGCAACCUGCCCUAUACAGGGGGAUAGCAGCUGGAAACGGCUGGUAAGACCGCAUAAGUCGGCGAAACCGCAUGGUUUUGCCGGGAAAUGAGCAAUCAGGUAUAGGAUGGGCCCGCGUCCGAUUAGCCAGUUGGCAGGGUAAAAGCCUACCAAAGCAACGAUCGGUAGCCGGACUGAGAGGUCGGACGGCCACAUUGGGACUGAGACACGGCCCAAACUCCUACGGGAGGCAGCAGUGGGGGAUAUUGCACAAUGGAGGAAACUCUGAUGCAGCGACGCCGCGUGAGUGAAGAAGUAUUUCGGUAUGUAAAGCUCUAUCAGCAGGGAAGAUGAUGACGGUACCUGACUAAGAAGCCCCGGCUAACUACGUGCCAGCAGCCGCGGUAAUACGUAGGGGGCAAGCGUUAUCCGGAUUUACUGGGUGUAAAGGGAGCGCAGGCGGUUUGGCAAGUUGAGAGUGGAAGCAGGGGGCUCAACCCCCUGACUGCUCCCAAAACUGUUAAACUUGAGUAUGGGAGAGGCAGGCGGAAUUCCUAGUGUAGCGGUGAAAUGCUUAGAUAUUAGGAAGAACACCGGUGGCGAAGGCGGCCUGCUGGACCAAAACUGACGCUGAGGCUCGAAAGCGUGGGUAGCAAACAGG
rnacentral:rRNA from 1 species